UACGAAGGGUGCGAGCGUUAAUCGGAAUUACUGGGCGUAAAGCGCGUGUAGGCGGUUGGUUAAGUCAGAUGUGAAAGCCCCGGGCUCAACCUGGGAACGGCAUUUGGGACUGCAAGGCUGGAGUGUGGCAGAGGAGACUGGAAUUCCUGGUGUAGCAGUGAAAUGCGUAGAUAUCAGGAGGAAUACCGAUGGCGAAGGCAGGUCUCUGGGCUGACACUGACGCUCAUGCACGAAAGCGUGGGGAGCAAACAGG
rnacentral:rRNA from 1 species